AUAAGAAUAUUGUAGGGUUGAAGUUAUAGCUCAGCUAGAGGUCUAACUAGCAUGACCCCCACAGGAAGAUUAUACGACUAUGACUAUUUGUAUUGUGCAACAAAAAUAUAGUAAGCUUAUAUACAUAAUAAGCACAUAGUUCCCCAGAGACGCGCCUGUCCAACCAUUCCAAGAAAAUCCUCAUUACCAAUUACUUCUCAUAGCCAAAUCAAGAGUGACUUGUGUGGCUUUAGCUUUCUUCUCUGCGUGUUAUGUUGAGCACUCCCGUCUUUUAAAAUCUGUCUCUCAGUUGGCUAAGGAACAGUGGCUUCCCUGGUUUGUCCUCCACUCCUCUGGCUGCCUUUCAAGUUCAUUCAGUCAGCAUUGUGUGCAUGCUUGUUUGUGGAGUGAUACAUGAGCGUGUGGCUGCAUGCAGAUGUGGGUCAGUCACAGAAGUCCUUCCUCACGAACCAUCCAUCCUGGCUAUUUUGUUUUUGUUUGGGACAGGCUCUCUAAUUGGUACUUGCCCCGUGCUGGGGUUACAAGUAUUUUGCCCCAUGCCCAUACCUGGAUUUUUAGGUGCUAGAGCUCAAAUUCAGGUCUUUGUGCAUACAAGACAAAUACUGAACUGAGCUAUUACUUCACUGUCCUAUAUUUAAAAUAAUUAGUAAAGUGUGCAUGUGGUGAUUGCUGGGGACAUAAUACUGGGCUGUCUCUCUUUUGCUUGCCCAUUAAAUAAAUGUUGGUGAUUACUGUCUCCUUGUUCUCCUCUUCUUCCUCUUCCUCCUCCUCCUCCUCCUCCUCCCCCCCCCUCCUACCUCUCUGGCAGACUGAUUGAACUCAAGAUUUCAUAGCAUUUCCAGACCCACCCCCACCACGACCAUUUCUUAAUUACAUUUUAUUAAUAUUUUAUUUUAUAUGCUUGUAUGUAUGUGUGGUCACAUGCGUGUGGAGUUCAGAAGACAACUUACCAGAGUCGCUUCUCUCCAUCCACCGGGUUGUUAGCCUUGGGAGGAGGCGUCUUUAUCCUGAGUCAAACUCCAGUCCUCCCCUUCUUUUCUUUUCCUUUUUUUAAAUACAAGGUCUCAUGUGUCCCGCGCUGCCUGGACCUUGCUGUGUAAUUCAGGAUGACCUUGAACAUCAGAUCCUGCUAGCUCUGUCUCCCAAGUGCUGGAGUUAUAUGAAGGAUUGUUUAACCACACUCAGACUGCUGGGGAUGAGACGUAAGGUCAUGUGCGUACUAGGCGAGUAUUCUCCCAACUGAAGGAUAUUCUUAGCCUCCCACCCCCAGUCACCUCUGUAGUCCUUAAACACCAACUAGAUGCUUUUGGGUUUUCUAUAACUGUGGAGCAGCAGUUCUGAACCCAGAUGUUUCCCUACCACCCAAAGUCAGUCACCCUCCCUCUGCUUCAGUCCCCUUGUCUAUACUUGCAAACACCAGCUACCUCUAAGUCAACACCACAGGACUUAGCAAUUAGCAUCUGAAAACAGAUUUUCAUUUGUUGUGAUGUUAGUAGCUUUCUAGCUCUGAGGAUUACUUGUUAAUGUUUGGUUCUUUUCAAACAUUAAGUAUCCCUGGCUGUCCUGGGAACUUGCUGUAUAAACUGGGCUGGUCUUGAACUCACAGAUCUGCCUGCCUCUGCCUCUUGCUUGCUGGGAUUAAGACUGUGUGCCAACAUGCCCAGCUUUGGAUCUCAGGGCUGUUUUAGAGACCCUCUUCAUACUCAGAGGGGCAAAGCGUACAGCCUGAACUCUCAAAAAUGGCUCUGCAGCUUGAGUCCUGGGGUUUCUCUCUCCUGCCAUUUUAUUCUAGAUCUGUAGCUGUCUGGCGCCUUUAGCGAGGGUGUUAGGUCUGUGGUGGGUGUGUUUCCUGUGGGGGGUGGGCAUCAGGCAGCCUGAGGAGCAGCUCUCUGGCUUUUGUUGACCUUGCUACUUCUCAGUAAUAAAUACUUUUAUGGGGUGUGGAAGAGUAUGCUCCAGCCACCUACGAAAGGACCAGAUUGGUUAAUGUCAGUUACCAGACACUCGGGUGGGAUUUUGAAGGAAGAUCGACAUGGUCCACGUGAGGAUGGGGUAGAGGGGACGGACUAGAAUCCCAGAUCUCUGACAUCUCCUCAGGACCUUUUCCACGAGUUGGCUUGGAUCAUGGAGGCAUGUGUUGUUUUCCCCUGUUCAGCAUCCAUCCCUGUCCUGGUAGGUGCACUCCAUUUGGCCCAUUCUUAGUCUUUAUGCUCAGUAAGAGGCUGGCCCGCCCUCCCUCCCUCCUAAUUUUCUUUUUGCCUCAGAGGUAACCAAGUGGCCUAAACCUGGCCAAUAACAGCAUCCCUUCUUCCCUGCUCCAGUGAUUAACUCAACCGUAAACCUUGGCAGGCCAGGACUUGUGCUGCAUAUUUGGGAAAGAGAAGCUUAGGCUCUGUCUAAGGGUUUUAUUGUUGUGAAGAGACACCAUGACCAUGGCAACUCUUAAAAAGGAAAACAUUUAAUUGGGGCUGGAUUACAGACUCAGAAGUUCAGUCCAUUACUGUCUUGGUGAUAAACGCAGUGCGUGUGGGCAGACACCGUGCUGGAAAAGAAGCUGAGAGUUCUACAUCUGGAUCCUCAGGCAGCAGAAGGGAACUGAAACACACUGGCCACGCUUGACCUUCUGAGACCUCAGAGCCUGCCCUCACCAUGACUCACUUCCUCCAACAAGGCCACACCUCCUAAUAGUAUCACUCCCUAUGGACCAAGCAUUCACAUACAUGAGUCUAUGGGGGCCAUUCCUAUUCAAACCGCCACAGGCUCUGAUUAAAAAAAAAAAAAAAAAAAAAAAAAAAAAAAAAAAAAAGCUAUAAAAUAAAUUAGAACAGAGGGGAAGAAGUGCACUGGAAAGAUGGCUCAGAGGGUAAAGACUGGUGCAGCCCUUGUUCCAGCACCCACAUUAUGCAGCUCAAAGCAACCUAUAACUCCAGCUACAAGGGGGCAUGGUACCUCAGGCCUCUGUGGGCACCAGCACUAUGAACACACACACACACACACACACACACAAUUUUAAAAAAAUAAAGAUGACCAGAAAUAUCAAACAACGAAUUGAGUUUUUAAAAAAAAGCUUUUAUUUUUAAGUAAGAAUGCUCUUGUUUUAUGAAUGACACUAAUUUGCAUAUUAAAUAACCCUGUAAUAGAAAGCUUUGAGAUAGUUUUAAACAGAGUUAAAAAGAGGGGAGACUUUGGGUUACAAGAACCCUUCCCCGAAAAACAAAUUCUUAGAAUGAUCCCUUUUUUCCAAGAGUGUCAGUGUGACCAGUGUACCCAGCCUCUGUCAUGUCUAGUACAAAAACACAAUGGUCAGUGGGACUAAGAAAGCUGGGUUCACGGUCACCACCUCAAAGGAAGAGCACGUGCUGAGUUCUCUGUGAGUGAGAAGCUGGUUCUUGUUAACUUCCAUACCCAGAGAUGAACUCACAUAUCCACCGUGAAAACAAAAUCAAACAAACAAACAAAUCUAAAGGCCUAUGACAGAGUUGAAGUGAGAACACCAAUGAGCUUUCUAUCUUCUUUCGGACUCUCGGGUCCUUCUGUCUGCCGCCCAUCCUUCUUACCUCAUACUGCCCUGUCUUUGUCCUGAUCCUAAAUUUUGGACAAUUCUUUUUUUAUUUCUUCAUCCCUAAAGAAUUGACUUUUGUUGUUGUUCUUUCAAGACAGCCCAGCUAUAUAGCCAACUUGGCACGGAACUUUCAGUCCUCCUGCCUCCGCGCUAAGUGAUAUGACUUAGUGUAGAGAAGCGCUUUCCUGACCACCUGGGACUCACAUUGUGGAAAGAGAACCAUCUCUCACUCCAGCUUUGACCUGGACUCUUGGCUGGCUGACAGUCACCCGGCCAGUAGUCCUACCCUCUGCCCUUGCAGGUGUCGCAAGUGCUGUUAAUUAUACUGUGCAAUUAUACUCUGCUGUCUUUGUUCUUGCAUCCACAUGAUCAGCUUGUAGCUUUACUGCAGCAGGACAGAGUUAGCGCUCUCCCGGUCACCAGGGUGUGGCUGCAGUCUUUUUUAGUGACUUCAUACUUAGCUCCUUGUUUGUAAGGCAGUCUGAGGUGGUCUCCCCGGUGGAAGCUCCCCAGAAGUCAUCUUUAGGUUUUAACCUGCUAUAAUUAGCUGCAUUAAACUGGGUAGAGGGGGCACAUGCCUUUGAUCCCAGCACUCAGGAGGCAGGAGAAGCAGAUCUCUGAGUUCGAGGCCAGCCUGGUCUACAGAGCGAGUUCCAGGACAGCCAGGGCUACACAGGGAAGCCCUGUCUCGAUAAACCGAAACCAAACAGCUGCAUUGACUGUAAGGGUAAAUGAAAGAUCGAUAAUGUCUUACAUAAUUUCCUCCACGUCCUGUGGUGGGGAGGGACAGCUGCCCUGCCAUUCGGAGUCUUGCCUGUUACCUGUGUGGUGUGAUUUUUGAGCAGCCAGCUGCAAAUCCUUUUAUCCAUCUUUCUCAGUGCUCUAACACUGCUAUGUUAAGCCUUGACCUUCAUUUUAACGCCGGCUUCUGUCAUCAUUGCAACCUAGCAGCUUUCACAGUGGGCCCUUCUCACUGCCACAGAGAGCAAGCUCUUUCCUCAGUAGAACUCGGGAGGCUGAGGUAAGAGGAUGCCAGGUUCAAGACCAGCCUGAGCUUCAUAGGGAAACCCUGCU
rnacentral:lncRNA from 1 species